GUUUCAUCACAAUUUGCUUUAAAAAACUGAAGCCCCCAUCUAAUCUCAGAAGCUAAGCAGGGUCGGGCCUGAUUGGUCCUUGGAUGGGAGACCACAUAGGAAGACCAGGUGCUGCAAACG
rnacentral:rRNA from 1 species